UGGCUCAGGACGAACGCUGGCGGCGUGCCUAAUACAUGCAAGUCGAACGAGGUUUGGUCAGUUUGCGGUGGUGCUUGCAUCACCAAUUACCGAUCAAACCGAGUGGCGGACGGGUGAGUAACACGUGGGUAACCUGCCCUUCAGCAGGGGAUAACAUUUGGAAACAGAUGCUAAUACCGUAUAAUCCACGGAGACCGCAUGGUCUCCGGGUAAAAGAUGGCGCAAGCUAUCACUGAAGGAUGGACCCGCGGCGUAUUAGCCAGUUGGUGGGGUAACGGCCUACCAAAGCGAUGAUACGUAGCCGACCUGAGAGGGUAAUCGGCCACAUUGGGACUGAGACACGGCCCAAACUCCUACGGGAGGCAGCAGUAGGGAAUCUUCCACAAUGGACGCAAGUCUGAUGGAGCAACGCCGCGUGAGUGAAGAAGGCUUUCGGGUCGUAAAACUCUGUUAUUGAAGAAGAACGUGUGUGACAGUAACUGGUCAUGCAGUGACGGUAUUCAAUCAGAAAGUCACGGCUAACUACGUGCCAGCAGCCGCGGUAAUACGUAGGUGGCAAGCGUUGUCCGGAUUUAUUGGGCGUAAAGCGAGUGCAGGCGGUCUUUUAAGUCUGAUGUGAAAGCCUUCGGCUUAACCGAAGAAGGGCAUCGGAAACUGGGAGACUUGAGUGCAGAAGAGGAGAGUGGAACUCCAUGUGUAGCGGUGAAAUGCGUAGAUAUAUGGAAGAACACCAGUGGCGAAGGCGGCUCUCUGGUCUGUAACUGACGCUGA
rnacentral:rRNA from 1 species